rnacentral:lncRNA from 1 species
AAAAGGACAAUGCGGAUAAUUGCAAUUGUUAAUUUGUUACUUUUAUCAACUUUCUUAUGUGUCAAGACGGAUUCCGCUGUGGCCUUGUCUUAUGUGUGUACAUUUAAUACACAUUGCCGCUGCUAUAAUGAAGUAGGAACAGAAAACUUACAUGUGGAUUGCGCAAACGGUAAAAUAUCGAAAAUUCCAAAAUUUCCACCGAAUACUUACAUUUUAAAUCUGCAAAAUAACCGUAUACGCGUAAUAAGCGAUAACG